CCUACGGGAGGCAGCAGUGGGGAAUAUUGGACAAUGGGGGGAACCCUGAUCCAGCGACGCCGCGUGAGUGAAGAAGUAUUUCGGGAUGUAAAGCUCUAUCAGCAGGGAAGAAAGAAAUGACGGUACCUGACUAAGAAGCUCCGGCUAACUACGGGCCAGCAGCCGCGGUAAUACGUAGGGGGCAAGCGUGAUCCGGAUUUACUGGGUGUAAAGGGUGCGUAGACGGCGAUGCAAGUCUGAAGUGAAAGGCGGGGGCCCAACCCCCGGACUGCUUUGGAAACUGUAUGGCUGGAGUGCAGGAGAGGUAAGUGGAAUUCCUAGUGUAGCGGUGAAAUGCGUAGAUAUUAGGAGGAACACCAGUGGCGAAGGCGGCUUACUGGACUGUAACUGACGUUGAGGCUCGAAAGCGUGGGGAGCAAACAGGAUUAGAUACCCUUGUAGUC
rnacentral:rRNA from 1 species